AGGCCACGGUCUGAUGCCUUGUCAGCAUUGUUCUACUUCUAAUAUCCCCGUAACUGCUCCACCCAAAAUUUUUUAUCCUGUAAGACUUCCCCUCCUCUAUCCCCUUAGCCAAUUCCUCAAACAUUAUAAAUUUAGUUGCCCUCUUCCCAUCAGACACCCCAGCGGCAUAGUUGGUCAGUGUGGUGACGGCCAAUGCCUCCUCCUCCGAGAUGUUCCACUCCUUCACCUUUAUCGUCUCUCGCAGAAUUACCACUUUGAAGGUGUCGGUGUACAGCUUCUCUGUCCUUCUGUUGAAAGCCAUUUUCUGAAAAUACAUACAAGAGAAAAAAAACAGUUUUUAGAGGCAAGUUUAAUAUUCAAGCUAAGAUUAAAUAAGUAAAAGCACACCCUAGUAGCAUAUAAAGUUACGCGUAAAGAACGACCCAGAUAAUAAAGAUAUCACGUUGUUGUCCCCUCCUGCCAACAGAGGGCGCCCCCCUCUUUUCGCGUCUAUUUAAGAGAUGAAAUGAUGCUGUUACAGAAGUUCCGGAGUUACUGCUGCAGACAGAAGCGUGCAUGCUGCAUGGGAGCACGACGGUCUUAUCCAACGGCCCUUUUAACGUCCAUCGCAAGCAGCUGUGUUCAGUAUUUUAAGUGACUCCUGAAGUUAGUUUAUUCGCUCUGUGCUUACAAUUCCAAACAACGGUUGGUAAAGGCUACUGUUAACAUUAGCAUAGAUAAGACUAGCUCCGUUGAAGUAGGCCAGUUAGACCUCCCCCGUCCACGAGGCAGACGCUAACGGAGCAUAGCAUGUGGCGCAUUCAGCAAAGAUAACUAAGACAGAUCUUGCUUGCAUCAAAUGCUGCUUUGAGGGUCACUCAACACGGAUGCUUCCUGUUGCAUCCAGGAGGCCACCGGACCACUCACCACAGGAGCUGAUGCACAUUCUUCUGCUGAACUUUACACCGUUGUCCCACCAUCCACUGAACUGAACACCAUUCAGACUCAUGGCUUUAUCAGCAGUGACAUGCGUGUGGUGUGUAGAGACUCCAACGGUUGUGUCAGUGUUCUCUCGCUAACGGCGCCGGGGCUAGAGACCACGGCCCAGUGGAAGGCUCUGAGGCCUGGAUCACAGCCAUCUCCUUCUAGGACACCCAGCUGCUCUACUCAGCAAGCUGAAAGGCUGGGACCCCAGGAUGGAGCUCUCCUCUCCCACUUUCACCAGCAAGAGGUAAAUAAACAGCCCUAGCUAGCUCACUAAUUACCUAUCUUAGCCUUUUGGAGAAAACGCCACUUUCUGACUCUUAAAACCUAUGUUGGGUCAUCUGCUGUCUCACCUCCGUUUCAGUUAAGAAGUCAUAGAAUAGGUAUUUAGAUAUUUGAUAUUUUUUAUAUUAGUAAAGUGAGGAUCUAAAAAUGUAACAUAUCACGUUUCGGAUGAUCACAGAGGGGUAUAUGCACUACACGUCUACCAAAUAUCUUGUCAGGACAAUGCCAAUGUCAAUCAAUAUACUGAAAUAACACGAGGUUUACUAAUUUUCUUAUGCUUACUGCACAUCUUGAUAUCUUUUAAUAACAUAAUUAUAAGGAAAUCAUUAACAAAUUGACACACUUGUACGUUCAGUAAUAUGGCCGUCUGGUCAACCUCGG